AAAAGGGAAAGUGAAAGCCGUUAUAAUCUACUUUUUGUUUUGAGCAGGCAAUCUGAGGUUUGCAGCCCAGACUUUCUGACAUGAAAGAUGAACAUACUGGGAGAAAAAGACAUUUGGACAUUGCCAAGCCUGUACAACCCACCUGGAUUAGAGGGACUGCUUACUGACCAUUUUUUAUUUUGCUUGCCAAGCUACUUGAGGGGCUCUGAGAACAUCUGAAUCCAUGACAUAUUGGCUGGUGACAUGUUGUUCCAUGUGGAAUCAAAGAAGCAAAAAAUAUACAUGGAUUAUUUGGAAAUUAUCUCUCCUUUGAAGUUUAUGAGAAGUGAGAAAGACUUGGAAAGGUGGAAAUCACGAAGUUUUCCCAAUGUCCCUGGACUGCAGUCCCCCAACAGCGAUGGAGAAUGCUGAAAGUUGCAGUGCAGAGGGCUGUAAGAUAUUCAUCCUUGUGCUAUGAGACUUGUUCUGUAAUGUGAGAUACCUUUUUGGCUGGUAUACACUUAAUGCCACAUGCUAUGCUUUCUGCUUUUUUGUGAAUAGUGCUUUAAGUUAGUCUUUGUUUAUAGCUACAAUAGCAAAGAGUUUUCUGCAGCUGAGCAAUCAGGCUGGUGAAAAGAGGAAUCAGUCAGUCUGUGUCCCGUUGCCAACUUCUCUAUUGGCAGUAAAGGGAAGAGCUCUGCUUCCUCCACAGUCAUGGUGGAAAGUGAAAAAUCUUGCAAAUAAGAAACUGGUGGAUGUGUUUUCCUUUGGUCAGCCCACCUGGGGAAGAAGGGACUUCCCUUCAUGCCAAGCAGGAGGGCAAAGGAUAAAGAAACAGAGCAAUUUUCUAUCUCUGCCAGCUCACCUCACUUUACCCUGUCAUAAUUUUUAUUAAUAACUUUUACCCUUCAGUAGGAUCCCUUCUUCUAAAAAACUAAAGACACGUCCACAUUAGACCAAAAUGCAGGUCCUAUCUCGCUUUUAACGGAGGUGUCCAAAGGAAAGCCUGGGGUUGUGGAAGGGGGUGAGGACUGAAACCCAGGAGGAAGCGGGUUAUUUUAACCCGCUUCCUCCUGGAUUUUUGGGCCGUGUAAAAGGGCCCUAAAGAAGAAAAUUUUGUUCACAGAUCUGUAACGUUGGUGGCCAUAAUAACAAGUCUAUUUUAAGCAAAUCUGUUUAACAUGGAUAGAUCCCAAAGACAAUUUCAACUGUAGUUUCAACUUUAGUGAAAAUGCAAGGUCAAAGGCUUUUUCUAAGAAAUAUUUCAGAGGUAAAGCUGUGACACUUUUCAUUUUUAUAAAAUAAUCUUUAUUAGAGAUUUGUUAUUACAUGUUGAAGAAGCAAGAAAGGGGAAGUUGGAUAAGGGUAGGUGUUGGUGUGGCUGGGUUAGGGUUGGGGUUGGUGUAUUGGGGAUGGGGGGUUUCAGGUAAAUGGGG
rnacentral:lncRNA from 1 species